rnacentral:ribozyme from 15 species
CUGUCUUCUCUUUUUCUUUUCUUUUUCCUUUUCCUGUUUCCUUUUCUUUUUCUUUCUCUGCUGGUGAGUCAGAAAACAGCCGAGACGAAGGGAU